rnacentral:siRNA from 1 species
UGGUGGUGAUGUUGUUCCCCUA